rfam:Heligmosomoides polygyrus genome assembly, scaffold: HPBE_scaffold0002770
GCGCGGGUGGUGUAAGGCGUAGCAUCGCUGCUCGUAAAGCAGGAGGUUCGAGUUCGACUCCCGCCUGGCGCG